rnacentral:rRNA from 1 species
UACAGAGGUCUCAAGCGUUGUUCGGAUUCAUUGGGCGUAAAGGGUGCGUAGGCGGCGCGGUAAGUCGGGUGUGAAAUCUCGGGAGCUUAACUCCGAAACUGCAUUCGAUACUGCCGUGCUUGAGGACUGGAGAGGAGACUGGAAUUUACGGUGUAGCGGUGAAAUGCGUAGAUAUCGUAAGGAAGACCAGUGGCGAAGGCGGGUCUCUGGACAGUUCCUGACGCUGAGGCGCGAAAGCGUGGGGAGCAAACGGG